GCGCACUGACAUGUCGUUAAUCGAUCACCUGAUAUAUUGAUUAUUCAACGUAUUCACCAGAAAAUUCCGAGUAUGCAUUUGUAUAACUCAGUAACUCUACUAUGUUGUAACUACAGUAAAAGCAAACAAUAUUUUUCCCCGUACAACAACAUCAAAGCCAUAUCAUUGGCUAAUAUCAACAAUCUUUAUUAAUGAAGCUAUUAUUGAACCAAUAUAUCCAACAGAGCGAUUAACCAUUGUUCUUGAAAUUCAAUUGCGGUUAUUUUAAGUGGCUUGAGAAUAUUCUCGAUGACAUACUUUGCAUUUUAUAGUUGUGUACAUAUAGCACCCAACAGUCAGAACUGCUUCAUCAUUUGCAAAGGGAGAGCCACUACGUAUACAUCUAAUCUUGUUCAGACCGCUCAGAUUUUAAAGCAAUAUGUCGGUAAGUUUAUACGAU